rnacentral:rRNA from 1 species
AGUGAACGCUGGCGGUAGGCUUAGCACAUGCAAGUCGAACGGCAGCACAGUAAGAGCUUGCUCUUACGGGUGGCGAGUGGCGGACGGGUGAGGAAUACAUCGGAAUCUACUUUUUCGUGGGGGAUAACGUAGGGAAAAUUACGCUAAUACCGCAUACGACCUACGGGUGAAAGCAGGGGAUCUUCGGACCUUGCGCGAUCGAAUGAGCCGAUGUCGGAUUAGUUAGUUGGCGGGGUAAAGGCCCACCAAGGCGACGAUCCGUAGCUGGUCUGAGAGGAUGAUCAGCCACACUGGGACUGAGACACGGUCCAGACUCCUACGGGAGGCAGCAGUGGGGAAUAUUGGACAAUGGGCGCAAGCCUGAUCCAGCCAUACCGCGUGGGUGAAGAAGGCCUUCGGGUUGUAAAGCCCUUUUGUUGGGAAAGAAAAGCAGCAGGUUAAUACCCCGCUGUUCUGACGGUACCCAAAGAAUAAGCACCGGCUAACUUCGUG